GAUGAACGCUGGCGGCGUGCCUAAUACAUGCAAGUCGAGCGAACAGACGAUGAGAUUGCUCCUCUAACGUUAGCGACGGACGGGUGAGUAACACAUGGAUCACCAUCCUAUUAUUCUUGGAUGACUUCGGGAAGAAGCAGAUACUAACGCCUCAUAUGACCAACCGCUUGGUUCAAUAGUGCAAGAGGGCUUUGCUGUCACUUAUAGCUGGUUCCGGGCCGGAUUAGCUAGUUGGUAAGGUAACGGCUUACCAAGGCAACGAUGCGUAGCCGACCUGAGAGGAUGAUCGGCCACACUGGAACUGAGACACGGUCCAGACUCCUACGGGAGGCAGCAGUAGGGAAUCUUGCGCAAUGGGCGAAAGCUUGACGCAGCAACGCCGCGUGGGUGAUGAAGGUCUUCGGAUCGUAAAGCUCUGUUAUUAGGGAAGAACAACUGUGUAAGUAACUAUGGACGUCUUGACGGUACCUAAUCAGAAAGCCACGGCUAACUUCGUG
rnacentral:rRNA from 1 species